CCAACACCUGUGGAGUUUCCAAACAAAUGGGCUCAGAGUUCCUUGAUGCACUUUUAGUUACUGCUCCCACGUUUGAUUGUUUUGUAAUUAUAGUUGUAAAACGUGCUAUGAGGUAACACGUGGGGACAAAAAAAAUAAAAAAUAAAAAAUAAAAUCACACUGCAGAAUGGUAGGGGAUUUAUGGGAGCUACAACACAAAGAAUAACCCACCUUUCUUUCUUCACUGUUUCCCUUGGAAGCCAGCCACCGAAGUUUCCUUGUCAGUAAUACGGGGGUUUGUAAAUAGAACAAAGAGCUUCCUCACGCCGAGGCUCAUUAUAUAACCCCAGUGAAGUCAUGGUGUGUCUUCACAUGCAGUUCCCUUGAACUUUGCAUCUUUCUCCUCCUGAGAACAGUCCUGCAUGCCAGUUUGAACAGAUGUGGCUUCCUUUAGGAAAAGUUUUCUGUUAGGGUCAUUCCAACUUCCCUUUCAGAGCUUUCCAGCUUCACGUGCGCUUUGCUCAGGGGAUUACUACAGUGACCGCCCGCUCCAUGUGCUACUGUUAAGCUUCUCCUCACCUGCUGGCUGAGCUGAAUGUACGCCGAAAUCUCUGGUCCACAGAAAAACCUGACAUCUCGUGUUUUCCUGAAUCAAACCGGAAAGCUGCAAUUUCCUUUGAGCUCAAAUGAUGAGAAACGUCAUUUCAGAAGGAGCAAAAACGGCCUUACUGCAGCCUUUUGUUUGGGUGUUGUGGACACGUUUUCAUAUGAGACUUCAGCUCGUAAAACACCCCAGGAUCCAAGGAGUCCCAAAGGCACUCAGGCAGCACCCACUGCCCUGAAGUCAUCAAGGGAGAUGUAGAACAUGCCCAGAGUGAUCUGCUGGACAGAUGAAGUUUUAAAGCAUGAACUACUCAAACUUUGGAUCAAAGAGUGAAGCAAUCCAUUUCUGAAGUACAAACAGGAAAAAGUUAUAUGAGUCUUCUAGCAAUUUCAGGCAAAUCCAUCACGGAAGCAGCAUGCUUGGCCUUUUUACUGUGCAUCUGUCUGAGGUUUCCAGUAAGACUUUCCUGAUAUAUAGGAAGAGUCAAAACUCUAAUCUGUUUUAACUCUUUUUUAUUGUCUCUGCAGCACUAACUUUGAAAAAUGGCCUUGUCCCCAAAGAACUGCACACAGUCCAUGUAGGGAAGCUGUUAAAAUAAAUGCAUUACGUAAAAAUAUUGCAGAGGAACUCAGCUCUGAGGGUUUGGGAGCCACAGCAUAUAGAUAUAAAACAGAUCAGUAAAAGUACGAGUGGAGGUCAGAAACAGAGAACGAGGGAAGUCCCUUUCUGGCAGUGGUUGCACACGAUCUCUGAAACCAACAAUUCCUGCCCUUCUGUCAUGGGGCUUCAGCCUUUUAAUAAAUG
ensembl:lncRNA